UACGUAGGGACCAAGCGUUGUUCGGAUUUACUGGGCGUAAAGGGCGCGUAGGCGGCAAUUCAAGUCAGUUGUGAAAUCUCCGAGCUUAACUCGGAACGGUCAACUGAUACUGCUUUGCUAGAGUACAGAAGGGGCAAUCGGAAUUCUUGGUGUAGCGGUGAAAUGCGUAGAUAUCAAGAGGAACACCUGAGGUGAAGACGGGUUGCUGGGCUGAAUGACUGACGCUGAGGCGCGAAAGCUAGGGUAGCAAACGGG
rnacentral:rRNA from 1 species